UUUUAGUAGUUCCUUCGGGGAGGAAGAAAUUAGUGACUGAGUGGCGGACGGGUGAGGUAACGACGUGGGCGAACCUAGCCCCGACGUACAGGGGGAGUAACGAAGCCGGAAACGGACUGCUAAAACCGACAUAAGCGCGCAAGGGCGCAUGGCCUGGUGUGAAAAACUCCGGUGGUAGUGGGAUGGGCCCGCGUCUGAUUAGCUAGUUGGCGGGGGAGAGGCCCACCAAGGCGACGAUCAGUAGCCGACCUGAGAGGGUGGCCGGCCACAUUGGGACUGAGACACGGCCCAAACUCCUACGGGAGGCAGCAGUGGGGAAUAUUGCACAAUGGGGGAAAUCCUGAUGCAGCGACGCCGCGUGAGCGGAGAAGUAUUUCGGUAUGUAAAGCUCUAUCAGCAGGGAAGAAAAAUGACGGUACCUGAGUAAGAAGCACCGGCCAAAUACGUG
rnacentral:rRNA from 1 species